UACGUAGGGGGCAAACGUUGUUCGGAAUUACUGGGCGUAAAGCGCGUGUAGGCGGCCCUGCAAGUCGGGUGUGAAAUCCCACGGCUCAACCGUGGAAGUGCACUCGAAACUGCAGGGCUAGAGUCCUGGAGAGGAAGGUGGAAUGCUUGGUGUAGAGGUGAAAUUCGUAGAUAUCAAGCGGAACACCGGUGGCGAAGGCGGCCUUCUGGACAGUGACUGACGCUGAGACGCGAAAGCGUGGGGAGCAAACAGG
rnacentral:rRNA from 1 species